AGGAUACCUUGAAGGAGGACCCUUGUUGGGUCACGACUUGAAAGGUUUGGUAACAUUAAUCAUCAGCCUUCUGUUUCCAACCAGUCUGGGGUCUUCCUGCUUGUUCUCAGCAUGUAGCCAGCAUCCUCCACCUGCGUGGGCGUCUUAGUUCUUACAGAACAACUGAAAGGGCCAUCCUUUGCUGUCUAGUCUAUUUCUGGAAGAGCCGCUGAAGAGCUAGCUGCUAACGUCAGGUGCAUUAGUCUUACCAGGCUUUCCAAGAAGGCACUGAUGCAGUGGGCAAGAAGACUGCCUUCCAGGAACGCUAUUGCCUUCCCUGGAGAACUGCCCUCGGACCAACAAGACACACCUAGUCUGGAAGGCUAUGACCGACUCCCCUGGUGGGCAGACCUUAACCGAUGAGUAACUGGCACAGGGGGAAAGGCCAGUCCCCUGCCUCAAGGUUAUCCUGGGCAGAUUUCCAUGGCAAAGGUAGAGGUAUAGAGUGGAAGCAGAACUGCACCAGUGCUUUUACAGGACUCUGCAAGUUACAUCUGCUAACGUCCCACUGACAAAAUCAAGUAACAUAGCCAAACUCAGAAUCAAGGAGGAAGAAAAUUAACUCUGCCUCUUCAGUGAGGAAGUGCAAAAUCACAUGGCAAAGGUGCAUGAACUCAGAGAGGGGUAAAGAAUUGAGAUCAUGACUGCAACCAACCUAUCACAUUGAACUUUACCUUUCCUUUCCAUCCCAAAAAGGGUGAUGUGUUUCCUAUGAAUAAAUAUUUGACAAAUUUUAUGUAAUCUUUUUUUUCAUCCCACACCUUCUUCUGAAUUAUUUUUUUGCUGAAGUACAUCUUCCAUGGAUGAUAAACUCUCUUGGUCUUCGUAAGUCUGAAAGUGUUUCUAUUUUGCCUUCACUAAAGAAUGCUAGUUUUAGCUGGGAGUAACAUUUAGGCUGACUUAUUUUCCCUCAGUAUCUGACUCCUCUGUUAUCUUUUGAUUGUUGCAGAUAAUUCUCUUGUCUAAAUUUUAUUUCCUUAUAGGUAGUAAUGUGUUUUUUCUCUCAGGUAGUUUUUACAUGUUUUGCUUUUUGAACAGGAUGAUAAUGUAUCUGAAUAUGGAUUCAUUUUCCUCUGUCCUGAUUGGAUUUAGGGAAAAUUAACAAUCUGAGUAUUAACAGACUGAAUUGUGGAAAACUGUCAGCUUUUAUUUAUGUAUAGCUUUUCCAGCAAUCCCUCCAUUGUUUUCUUUUGGAGCUACCUUAUUAAAACUCUGCAUUCACUUUCAUAUCUCGUCAAUGUUCCUUCAUUCAUAUAUAUUUCAGUGUUUUUCUUUCUUUGUGUUUUGGGUAUGAGACAAUUUCUCACACUGUCAUCUAAUUCACACAUUUCCUCUUCAAUUGUGUCCAGCCUACAGUUUACACCAGUUGAGCUUGUUUCAAUGAUUAUAUUUUUUACUUGUAAGAUUCCUCAGUAGAUUUUACAUAUGUUUCAU